rnacentral:rRNA from 1 species
GACGAACGCUGGCGGCGUGCUUAACACAUGCAAGUCGAACGGAAAGGCCCUGCUUUUGUGGGGUGCUCGAGUGGCGAACGGGUGAGUAACACGUGAGUAACCUGCCCUUGACUUUGGGAUAACUUCAGGAAACUGGGGCUAAUACUGGAUAGGAGCUCCUGCUGCAUGGUGGGGGUUGGAAAGUUUCGGCGGUUGGGGAUGGACUCGCGGCUUAUCAGCUUGUUGGUGGGGUAGUGGCUUACCAAGGCUUUGGCGGGUAGCCGGCCUGAGAGGGUGACCGGCCACAUUGGGACUGAGAUACGGCCCAGACUCCUACGGGAGGCAGCAGUGGGGAAUAUUGCACAAUGGGCGGAAGCCUGAUGCAGCAACGCCGCGUGCGGGAUGACGGCCUUCGGGUUGUAAACCGCUUUCGCCUGUGACGAAGCGUGAGUGACGGUAAUGGGUAAAGAAGCACCGGCUAACUACGUG